UAGCGACUUUUAGGACAGCGAAUAGCGAUUUUCCUUACUGAGGAGUUGACAAUACUGCUUGAAGUUCUCCAGAGGCCAGUAGCACGUGUCAUCCGUUAGCACAGAACCGCUUAGCAUCAUCAAGUAAGGUCACUAGUGACCCCACAGUAUAGCUAAAGCCAUUAGUGGUGCCACAAACAUGCCCACGUUUACUAUGUAUGAGCAGUGAACCGUGGUUCGACGGCGCAGAGACCGGAGAGGAGAUUGUGGCUGAACGGCCAGGACGAGCGGACGCAGAUCGCCCCGACGCAUCAGCUUUCCAUCCCAGGACAGACUGAGAACCUACGCGUCGGUCGUCAGAGGAGGACAAAACGCCAGCUUUGAGGCCUAAUAUACAAAGCUUGAAAUGGUCGGAGGCGGCGGCUUUGGAUCGGUUUUUGCUGGGAGAAGAAAAAGAGGUAAUUCGCCAGUGGUGAUCAAACACAUCCACAAAGAUGAUGUACAAUGUGAACUAGUGCAUUUCUGUGGGAAAACCUGCAAAGUUCCACUGAAGUUCUACCCAUGACCGGGAAGUGGACCACCUCUGUAGGGAAAUCUGCCACAGUCUCCAUACUGGACUGGCAUGAGCUUGAGAAAAAGGUUCUUCUCAUCAUGACAGUCCCCUGUGUAAAGGAGGAGACCAUCAUGAAGCAGACGGUGUUUUCCAUCGAGACAUAAGGACAGAAAAUGUACUUGUUGAAACUGGCCCCCAUGACUAUCAAGUCAGAGUCAUCGACUUUGGAUGUGGCUGCUUGGCUCAAGAAGAACCAUACUCCAUUCUCUGAAGCCAAAGCCCCCCCCCCCAAGAGUUUAACCCAUGGGAGAUACGAGGCCCCACCACAGUCUGGCAGUUGGGCAUGUUGCUAUAUGACAUGCUGGAUGGAAAGCAACAAUUUACCACAUCUAAGUAUCUCUGCACGACGACCGCUUUUAAUAUUGAGAUGUCCCAAGGUGAGAAAAUGUCACAAAAAGAGGCCAGUAACUGGAACUGAACCCAAGCACAGUACCCAGAGCAGAGGCAGAGAACAGGUUUUAACGGAGUUUUAUUGAUCAACACAAGAAUAAUAUUUGGUAGUGACAAAACUAUACAGGAUUUGGGUGGCAUGGCAACAUGGCUGGGGCAAAACUGAGAAGGUAACUGGAGCGGGAAUAGUCACACUGGGAAUCGAGGAAAACCAAAUUAACGCUUAGCCAGAGGGGAGUUCCGGAGGAAGUAUGUGUAAUUAUUCUUUCAGCUUAAUUUGCAGGUGAGAGAUGGAUGCGUUGAAGGAGAGGCGGCGUAGAUCCGGGUGAGUUUGAUGAUGUGAAUAUGGCUGACUGGAGUUCCUUGUGGGUCCAAGACCGAGGGACAGCAGGAGGGCGGGCAGGUGAGGCAAGGAGUGAAUCCCAGGAAAUAGAGGGGAAAAUCUAAAGACCAAAAGGAUGUGUGGUUUAAAGCUGUGGAGCAUCUGGGAGUACUGACACACAAAAACAACAAGGUAAGUAAAGCACCUACAGUCACAAGCAUGAAACAAGGUCUGGUUACCGACAUAGAGUAGUCAACAAACUGGCGGAGAAGAGACGUCAGCGCAGAUCUUAAAUCUGCCAGCCUAAUUAGCUCAAUCAGCUACAGGUGGUAGAGGGUGUGGUGGCCAUGCCCAUGGGCGGAGACCAGGGAAGUUCAGGAAACUAGUGGAAGUUUCCAGCCACCCAGACCAUGACAGAAAAAGGAAAAUGGUGCUAACACUGUGCAGUACUUUUUACUUACAAGUUCCAAACUAUCACUGAAGUUUCUAUCCCGAUCGUUGUUUUUUUUGCAGAUGUGUUUGACUCAAAGUCCAAAAAAGUGAGCAACACUGGAACAAAGUCAACAGCACCCCUGGCUGCAAAAUCGAAACAUAAGGAUUUAAAAUCAGCUGAUUGUUUGCACCUGUGUCCCGCUCGUCAAUCCUCCCGCAGCCACUCUUCCGCUUCAUCUUCUGUUAUUUCCCUUUUAUGUAUUUUUCUUUCUUUCCUUCUGUUGCUUUACUCUCUGUAAAUGUAUUAAAUAUUUAAUGCAUAUAUUGCAGGUCUCUGGUUAGAGAUACUGCAAUUACUCAACAAUUGUACAUUAGAACGUGUCAAAAUAAAAAUAUUUUUACUUUA